GACGAACGCUGGCGGCGUGCUUAACACAUGCAAGUCGAGCGGAAAGGCCCUUCGGGGUACUCGAGCGGCGAACGGGUGAGUAACACGUGAGUAACCUGCCCCAGACUUUGGGAUAACCCUCGGAAACGGGGGCUAAUACCGGAUACGACACAGCUUCGCAUGGGGUCUGUGUGGAAAGUUUUUCGGUUUGGGAUGGGCUCGCGGCCUAUCAGCUUGUUGGUGGGGUGAUGGCCUACCAAGGCGACGACGGGUAGCCGGCCUGAGAGGGCGACCGGCCACACUGGGACUGAGACACGGCCCAGACUCCUACGGGAGGCAGCAGUGGGGAAUAUUGCACAAUGGGCGGAAGCCUGAUGCAGCGACGCCGCGUGAGGGAUGACGGCCUUCGGGUUGUAAACCUCUUUCAGCAGGGACGAAGCGUAAGUGACGGUACCUGCAGAAGAAGCGCCGGCUAACUACGUG
rnacentral:rRNA from 1 species